GGCUCAGAUUGAACGCUGGCGGCAGGCCUAACACAUGCAAGUCGAGCGGAUGAAGGGAGCUUGCUCCUGGAUUCAGCGGCGGACGGGUGAGUAAUGCCUAGGAAUCUGCCUGGUAGUGGGGGACAACGUUUCGAAAGGAACGCUAAUACCGCAUACGUCCUACGGGAGAAAGCAGGGGACCUUCGGGCCUUGCGCUAUCAGAUGAGCCUAGGUCGGAUUAGCUAGUUGGUGAGGUAAUGGCUCACCAAGGCGACGAUCCGUAACUGGUCUGAGAGGAUGAUCAGUCACACUGGAACUGAGACACGGUCCAGACUCCUACGGGAGGCAGCAGUGGGGAAUAUUGGACAAUGGGCGAAAGCCUGAUCCAGCCAUGCCGCGUGUGUGAAGAAGGUCUUCGGAUUGUAAAGCACUUUAAGUUGGGAGGAAGGGUUGUAGAUUAAUACUCUGCAAUUUUGACGUUACCGACAGAAUAAGCACCGGCUAACUCUGUGCCAGCAGCCGCGGUAAUACAGAGGGUGCAAG
rnacentral:rRNA from 1 species